GACGAACGCUGGCGGCGUGCUUAACACAUGCAAGUCGAACGGAAAGGCCCUGCUUUUGUGUGGUGCUCGAGUGGCGAACGGGUGAGUAACACGUGAGUAACCUGCCCUUGACUUUGGGAUAACUUCAGGAAACUGGGGCUAAUACCGGAUAGGAGCUCCUGCUGCAUGGUGGGGGUUGGAAAGUUUCGGCGGUUGGGGAUGGACUCGCGGCUUAUCAGCUUGUUGGUGGGGUAGUGGCUUACCAAGGCUUUGACGGGUAGCCCGCCUGGGAGGGUGACCGGCCACAUUGGGACUGAGAUACGGACCAGACUCGUACGGGAGGCAGCAGUGGGGAAUAUUGCACAAUGGGCGGAAGCCUGAUGCAGCAACGCCGCGUGCGGGAUGACGGCCUUCGGGUUGUAAACCGCUUUCGCCUGUGACGAAGCGUGAGUGACGGUAAUGGGUAAAGAAGCACCGGCUAACUACGUG
rnacentral:rRNA from 1 species